rnacentral:rRNA from 1 species
UACGGAGGGUGCAAGCGUUGCUCGGAAUUAUUGGGCGUAAAGGGUAGGUAGGUGGUCUUAUUUGUCUGAGGUGAAAGCCUUGAGCUUAACUCAAGAAGUGCCUCAGAAACGGUAAGACUAGAGUCCUGGAGAGGGUCGUGGAAUUCCUGGUGUAGCGGUGGAAUGCGCAGAUAUCAGGAGGAACACCAAUAGCGAAGGCAGCUCGCUGGGACGUUACUGACACUGAGGCGCGAAAGCGUGGGGAGCGAACAGG